GCCCCGUUCGUCUAGUGGCCUAGGACGUCGGCCUCUCACGCCGGUAACACGGGUUCAAAUCCCGUACGGGGUAC
rnacentral:tRNA from 1 species